GGUAGUGGUUAAUUUUGAUUAUCAAAAUUUUGGAAUCAGUUAAAAUUUUUAAGAUCGGCUUAACUCGUGCCAGCCGCCGCGGUUAUACGAAGGAUYUAAAUGAAAUAGAUUGGUGGAAUGAAGUAAAUAUUUGUUUUAAAUAAAUUUUUAAAUAAAAAAUUAAGGGUAAAAUUUUUAUUUUUUAAAUGAAAAGUUAUAACAGAAUGAACUAUCUUUGAAAAUUAAGAUUUAAACUAGGAUUAGAUACCCUAUUAUUCUUUAUUUUAUUAAUUGCCAGGGUAGUAGAAUUUUUWAAACCUAAAGAAUUUGGCGGUACCUUAUUCUUACUAGAGGAACCUGCUCUUGGAUCGAUAAUCCACGUUUUAAUGUACAUGUUUUUGUUUUCAGUUUGUAUACCGCCGUUGUCAGAUUAUUUUUAAAAAAUAUAAUCUAAUUAAUAGUUAAUUGGGACUUCAGGUCAAGGUGCAGCUUAUAAAUAUGGGAGUAGUGGGUUACAAUAAUAUAGAAUUAUACGGAUUAAUUAGUGUAAUACAAAUUAUGAAGGUGGAUUUAGUAGUAAAUUAAGAAUAAAAUUCUUAUUUGAAAUGAGCUCUGAGGUGUGUACACAUCGCCCGUCGCUCUCUCCCUUAAGGAGAGAUAAGUCGUAACAUAGUAGAUGUACUGGAAAGUGUCUCUAGAUAGA
rnacentral:rRNA from 1 species